ACAGCAGCCGCCGCGGUAAUACGAAGGGUGCAAGCGUUAAUCGGAAUUACUGGGCGUAAAGCGUGCGUAGGCGGUGAGUUAAGUCUGCUGUGAAAUCCCCGGGCUCAACCUGGGAAUGGCAGUGGAUACUGGCUCGCUAGAGUGUGUCAGAGGAUGGUGGAAUUCCCGGUGUAGCGGUGAGAUGCGUAAAGAUCGGGAGGAACAUCAGUGGCGAAGGCGGCCAUCUGGGACAACACUGACGCUGAGGCACGAAAGCGUGGGGAGCAAACAGGAUUAGAUACCCGAGUAGUCCCUGUCUCUUAUAC
rnacentral:rRNA from 1 species